CGAACGCUGGCGGCGUGCUUAACACAUGCAAGUCGAACGGAAAGGCCCUGCUUUUGUGGGGUGCUCGAGUGGCGAACGGGUGAGUAACACGUGGGUAACCUGCCCUUGACUUUGGGAUAACUUCAGGAAACUGGGGCUAAUACCGGAUAGGAGCUCCUGCUGCAUGGUGGGGGUUGGAAAGUUUCGGCGGUUGGGGAUGGACUCGCGGCUUAUCAGCUUGUUGGUGGGGUAGUGGCUUACCAAGGCUUUGACGGGUAGCCGGCCUGAGAGGGUGACCGGCCACAUUGGGACUGAGAUACGGCCCAGACUCCUACGGGAGGCAGCAGUGGGGAAUAUUGCACAAUGGGCGGAAGCCUGAUGCAGCAACGCCGCGUGCGGGAUGACGGCCUUCGGGUUGUAAACCGCUUUCGCCUGUGACGAAGCGUGGGUGACGGUAAUGGGUAAAGAAGCACCGGCUAACUACGUG
rnacentral:rRNA from 1 species